rnacentral:tRNA from 1 species
GCCCCCAUCGUCUAGGGGACCAGGACGCCACCCUUUCAAGGUGGAAACAGCGGUUCGAACCCGCUUGGGGGCACCA